AUUGAACGCUGGCGGCAGGCCUAACACAUGCAAGUCGAACGAGUGGCGGACGGGUGAGUAAUGUCGGGGAAACUGCCUGAUGGAGGGGGAUAACUACUGGAAACGGUAGCUAAUACCGCAUACCAUCGGAUGUGCCCAGAUGGGAUUAGCUAGUGGGUGGGGUAACGGCUCACCUAGGCGACGAUCCCUAGCUGGUCUGAGAGGAUUACCCGCCACACUGGAACUGAGACACGGGCCAGACUCCCACGGGAGGCAGCAGUGGGGAAAAUUGCACAAUGGGCGCCAGCCUGAUGCAGCCAUGCCGCGUGUAUGAAGAAGGCCUUCGGGUUGUAAAGUACUUUCCGCGGGGAGGCCUUACCCGCAGAAGAAGGACCGGCUAACUCCCGGCCAGCAGCCGCGGUAAUAC
rnacentral:rRNA from 1 species